GGCCACAUUAUGUUGAAACAUUGGUUCCUGUAUGAUCACUGAAGUUAAGCAACAUUGAGCCUGGUCAUUAUCUAGAUUGGUGACCACUUGAGAAUACCAGGUGCUGUAAG